rnacentral:misc_RNA from 1 species
AACGCACAUUGCGCCCCUCGGCAUUCCGGGGGGCAUGCCUGUUCGAGCGUCAUUGCACCUCUCAAGCGUAGCUUGGUAUUGGGCCCUCGCUCUCCGGGGCGUGCCCGAAAAGCAUUGGCGGUCCGGUGCGACUUUAAGCGUAGUAAAUUUUAUCCUUCCGCUUUGAAAGCUUCGCAUCGUGCCCGCCAGACAACCCCACGUAAUACCAAUGAUUGACCUCGGAUCAGGUAGGGAUACCCGCUGAACUUAA